ACCUUUGAUCUGUAAUCCCUAACCAUUCCCUCCCCUUUUUUCUUCAAUCUGAAAUUCAUUGUCAUUCCCAUUCCUUCUCAUUCUUUUGAUAUCUUCCAACAAAUCUAACACCAGGUAACUAAGAUUCACUACUGUUGCAUUAGGAAAAAUGUUCCAACGAAAAAAGAACCCAUUUUGCAUGUUAUUCAUUUCGAAAUAUCCCACCUUUAUUGAUCUUUCAGUGUUUUGAUUAUUGAAAAAUCUCGUAUUUUGGUCGAACUAUAUUUCCAUCUAUCGAAAAUUUGAUCCGUUCACUACUGAACCGUACUUUCAAGUUGCUAAAAACCCACCUUCAAGAGAAAUACAUGUUCAUAUUUCGAGAAAACCUUACUGAAGUGAAACCCUGCUUUCCUUAUAUUCUGGUAAGACCCUAUUUUCGUUAUGGAUAUGCGAUCAAGUUUCGUAUUAUUUUGGUAAGAAACCUAAUUUGUCCCUCCUUUUUUUCAGCGGUUUUGUCUGUACAAGGUUAUUGAAAAAAGAGUAUAGUGGGUUUGUAAGUGUGCAUAGGGAUAUAGACAAAUUAGGCCCCUUUAAUUUAUCAAAUAUGCCACUUAUUCAUGCAAAAAAAAAAAAACAAUGGACUUCUAAUCAAAUGUUGUGGAUGAUGCUUGUAUAAUAUUUAAUUUAAUUGUUAAAAUAUUUUAUUCUGAUCAAAUGUUGUGGAUGACGCUUGUAAUGGACUGUGCACUUUGAGAUGGCCUUCACAAAACUCAUGCAUUUAGGUGAUACAUUUGUUGAUAACCCUAAGGUAGAUUAUAUAGGUGGGGUUGUUGAAGUGUGGGAUGUGUCCCUAAUUAUUUGUGACAUGGAGAUUUGUGUGAGUUGGUUAUAGAGUCAGGGUGUAGGGGUGUUAAAAAUUUGUAUUAUUUAACACUGAGUAGUUUAGAUGUUGGUUUAGUUCUGUUUUGUGUUUGGGAUAAUAACUCUUUUAAUCACAUGGAGAUGUGUGAAUAAGCGAGAGGUCAACAAAGGGAGCUCGCAGCAUCAGCUUGCACGUGCUAAAGGGAGUUCGUGGUCUCAACCCAUGCAAACACAAGGAGUACAUGUGUCUAAUAUGCCUGAGGUUUGCUCAGAAUGUCAGUCCAAUGAAUAGUGGAGUUAAAUCAUGAAUAGUAAAAUUAAGUCAUGAACAGUGAUAACAUGUAUAAAUAUUCGAUUGUCCCUUUCAAUGGAAAUGAGCUACGAGUUCCCCCUGUUGACCUCUUGCUACAUUCCUCGCACACAUCCCUUAGGCGAGUCUAUCCAGGUUGCGGGUAGACGACUCAGAUCUUAUUUGGGUUUCGAGUUGGUGAUCCUUAGCGUAUAACAACAUUAAUGAGAAUAGUGAGGGUGUAGAUCCAACUUGUGAGGGACGUGAGGAAUUUCUUAGAGAGUGCAAAGGGAUUGAAGAAGCUGAAGGUAGUGAUGAUGAUCCAUUAGAAAAUGUUGAGUGGGCUAGUGACAAGGAUAAUGAGGAGUAGUAGUAGAUUAACAAUCUCUUUAGAAGUUUUAGGGAUAAUGUAGAAGAUAGAAAUGUUAGGCAAUAUGACAUCCCAAUUGAGAUAGUUUUGGAUGACCUUAUCUUAGAAAUUAAGAAAAAAAGGGCAUCUGUUAAUACUACCACAGUAGGUGAGUCUAGUGGGGUUGGGAGUGCAGCAGAUUACUUAAAAUCCUUAGAUCUAGUGAGUAGUGAUAUUGAUGAGGAUGGAGAUGUUGUCUUCAAGAAGUCAGAGAAGUGUUAUUUUGACCUUACUAAUCUAAUGCCUCAUUUUCAGUUAGGUUUGAUUCUUGAGAGUCCAAAACAGUUCAAGUCAGCAUUGAAAAGGUAUGCAAUUGCUAAGAGAUUUGAUUUUAAGUUAGCUAAGAAUGAGAAAGACAAAACUAAGGCUGUUUGCAAAUGGAGGGUUCUCCUUUUUACAGUUUAUGUUGGGGUAGAUUCAAUGGAUGAGCUUUUUAACAUUUAGGCUUUUAGAAAUCAUCACACUUGCUCCAUAACUUUUAAGAAUUCUCGAGCAUUAUAAGGUGUUGGCAAAACAUUUUUUACCUAAACUUAGAAUUAUGCCAUAUUUAAAACUGAUCGAGAUGGUGAAACUUGCUUAGGAAGAACUAAAGGUUGAUGUGUCCUUGGGGAUUUGUAGGAGAGUGUUAUGCGCCUUGGCGUAAGAUCUAGUCACAGGUCUAGACGAGAAAGUAUCCUUGCUUCGACCUAUGGUUACUCAAAAGGCAGAUUCGUCCUUGACUGAACCCCCUCUCAAAAUAACGUUUCUUUUGAUAGAAUAAUUACUUUUCCUCUUUAUUUCAUAUUGACAGCCUUUUAUAGACUGUUAAUAACAAAGGAAAGAGUCCUAAUUGACAUAAAAUAGAAUUCCUAACUUAGAGUUUAUGAAGGAAAUAAAAACCUAAUAUAAUAGAUAAGUAAAACUAAAACUCUUAGUAAAACCUGAUAUAUAAUAAAUAAAUAAAACUAAAAACUCCUAUUGCAAUUAAAGUGUCCAUAUCAUUACUUCCCUUCUCGGAAUUGAGCUUGUCCUCAAGCUCAAAUUCAAAAUAAACUUCAGAACUUAUCCAAAAUCAUCUAUCUCAUCAUCAUCUUGCUUGCCUUCAACAUCUGGUACUUCUAUCCAAAAUAACCUUUUACAUUUGUGUCCCAUGGAAUAAGACUCGUCACAAUUAUAACACAGCCCUUUAGCCCUUUUUUCCGCCAUUUCUAUCCGUGUCAAUCUCUUAAUAAAUGGUGCAGAAGAACCUAUUUUGCCGUUGUUCUCUAUUGGUUCUAUUGUUUGUCCUCCUCCCUUGGCAAAGCUCUUAGUUGUUGGAAUAAUGGAAUUGCUGCCAGUGUUUCAGGAAGCUGACCAGUUUAGAUUGGUUUGAGAUAACAUCUUGGAAGAGACUUUUUGUUUCCGUUCCAAUGCUCGAGCCAUAUUCAUUGCAACUCCAAGGUUUUCCGGAUGUUGCAUCUCGAUAUCAAUUCUAAGUUCCUCUACUAAUCCGGUAGUAAAAAGGUUUACUUGUUGUCGAGGUUUAAGAUCCGUAGUCCUAGCCAGUAGUGAUUGAAAUUGACGUUGAUAUUCUUCUACCGUCCCAGUUUGUCUCAAGUUUGCAAGUUCCCCCAAGGGGUUAUUACUCAUAGGUGGCCCAAACCUAACAUGACAACUCUCUAAAGCACUCCCAAUCCAGAUUUUCCUCCUCUUCCUCGAUUUGAUCAAACCACAAUUGUGCUUCUCCUAAGAGAUGGAAUGAAGCUAAGCCGACUUUGUCUUCUUCGUAGGUCCGCUGAUUGCCAAACAAUUUUUCGCAUCUUUUUAACCAUCCUAAAGGAUCACCAACACCAUCAUAAGUGGGAAAUUACAUCUUGGAGUAUUUUGGCACCAUGCCCCCACCGUGUUGUGAAUUUGAAUUUCUUUUCUUGCCUCCACUGCUACCUUGUUCUUCAUUAUUUUUUUCUAAAUUCUCUUUCGUUGUCUUUUGGACCGAAAGAGAUAAAAUCGCCAUCUGCUCCUCUAAUGCUUGUUGCAUUGUAGCCAUUUGUUCCAUAAAUGCCUCCAGCUUGGCUGUCAAAGUUUUUUCGUCACCCAUGACAACUGACUCCGAUACCAAGUUGUUAUGCGCCUUGGCGUAAGAUCUAGUCACAGGUCUAGACGAGAAAGUAUCCUUGCUUCGACCUAUGGUUACUCAAAAGGCAGAUUUGUCCUUGACUAAACCCCCUCUCAAAAUAACGUUUCUUUUGAUAGAAUAAUUACUUUUCCUCUUUAUUUCAUAUUGACAACCUUUUAUAGACUGUUAAUGACAAAGGAAAGAGUCCUAAUUGACAUAAAAUAGAAUUCCUAACUUAGAGUUUAUGAAGGAAAUAAAAACCUAAUAUAAUAGAUAAGUAAAACUAAAACUCUUAGUAAAACCUAAUAUAUAAUAAAUAAAUAAAACUAAAAACUCCUAUUGCAAUUAAAGUGUCCAUAUCAGAGAGCUAAAGACUUAGCAAAUGAACAAAUUAGUGAGAGGUAUAAGUAUGAGUUUAAGGAGGGUAGGUUUUGAUGGGGCUAUAGAUUUAAUGGUUGACAAACCUUUUUCUAAUCAUAGGCCUAGAUUUAGUAGGUUUUAUGUUUGUUUUAAUAGUAUGUAAAAAGGGUUUAAAGAGUGAUGUAGGCCUUUUGUGAGUUUGGGUGGGUGCUUUCUAAUGGGAAUGUUGAAAGGUGGCUUAUUGGUUGCUGUGGAAGGGAUGCCAACAAUCAAAUAUACCCUAUUGCAUAGGCAUUGGUGGAAAGUGAAACAAAAUAUUCUUGAGGAUAGUUUUUAGAGAAUGUAAGAAAUGAUCUUCAUAUGAUGAAUGGUGAAAGAUUUACCAUUCUGAGUGACAUGCAUUAAAUCUGAUUUUUUCUAUUAAUUGAGGGCUUAAUUGAAGCAGUUGGUCUGUAAUUUCAGAAAAUGAGCACAAAUUCUGUGUUAGGCAUUGGUUUGCCAUUUAGAAAAGAGUUUUCAAGAAUUUAGAGUUGCACAAGUAUUUUUGGAGCUGCAGCAAGGUAACAUCAGAAGCUGAAUUUCGGAAAAUGGCAUCUGCACUAGGUGAGGUGAAAAGGCAAGCACUGUUAAAAAUAUUGAAGAAAAAGCCUAUACAUUGAGGUGAGGCAUUUUUCUCAGCUAGAAACCUAUGUGAUUUUGUAGACAAUAAUAUAGCAUAAGCCUUUAAUGCUAGGUUAAGACAAGCUAGACACAUGUCUAUAAUUUCCAUGUUUGAGGAAAUUAGACAUUAUGUUAUGCACCACUUGCUGGGAACAAAUUUUGGCCUGUUACAAACAUGGGCGCUAUUGACCCUCUACUACCAAGGAAGUUACCAGGCAAGCCAAAAAAGAGAGUGCUGAAGAGGACGAAUGUAGUGGAAUCAACUUGUCUAGAAAAUGGAGGAUAAGAUGCAAAAUAUGUUUUAUGUUGGGACAUAAUUCAAUUAAAAAACAAGAUAAUGUAAGUUAUCUCAAUCUCAAUUACUUUCUUUUUUUAUGUUUUCAAUAUGGCUUCUAAUCAAGUGUUUUUUUCAAGAUUGACAAUAAUGGCAAUACUGGUGAACUAGUACCCAAAAGCCCUACUUAGUCUGAAGUUGAGGUACAUUUAAUUGUUUUCCCUUUUAUAGUACUCUUUCAUAAUCUUCAAGAGCAACACCACCAACAUCUGCAGUAACACAAACAACACCAACAACAGCUUCACAUGUAGCUCCACAACCACCAAUUGUAGCAACUCGUUUUUCAACAUGAAUUAUACAGCAACACCACCAAUAACUCAUGUACAAACACCUACAACAAGACCACCAAUUGCUCAAACAACAACCCCGAAACACCAAUUCAACCACCUAAUAAAAUAUCAAAAAGGAGAAGAAAAAUCAUGGAGGGCAAUGGGUUUAUGUCAAUUUGAGUAAUGGUGUAACAACUCAUUUUAAGUGGUGUCGAAAAUAGUGGUUUUGAGACCACAAUUUCGACGAGCGAAUUAAUAUUUUUAAUGUUUAUUUAAAGUCUGUAAGAUUAAUUAGGCUUGUCUAGAAUUCUUGUUAAGAAAUUUUAAGGUUUAAAUAGUUAAUUAAGUAAAAAAAACUAAACUGGAAAAAGUGCUAAAGUUUAUUUCUAUUAAUUAAAUGAGUCAAAUGGUUAUGGAAAGGUGAAUAAGUGAACUUAAAAAAGAAAUUAUUAUUGGACAUUCAUGGACAAAUGUUUGUUACUUGUUAAUUAAAAUAACUAAGGGUAAAAUGGUAAUAUGAUAAUUAAAACUAAACAAAACAAAAAAAGGAAGUUAUCAUCUUCCUAGGUCAUCACCUAAUUUUAAAGAAGAAAGAAACCCACCAUUGUAGAAGCUUGAUUCAUCUAGAUAGUUUCACCUUGCAUGGUAUGUAAUUUUCACUUAUUCUUAGUAAUAUUUGUGUUUUUGUUAUCGUAUUAGAUUAAUUAGGCUCGCCUAGAGUCAAUUUGUAAAAUUAUUAAAAGUAUAGCGAUUGACCAUGAUUGAGUUUGAAUGUGUUUUGAUUUUAGUUAAUAGAUUAUUAAAAUUUAUUGUUAAAUAAACAUGUUUUGUUAAGUGAUUUGCAGUAAUUUUAAGGUCUAGGGAUUAAUUUAUUAAAAUAGUAAAAUUUAUUGGUAAAAAUGUGAAAUUGUGAUAAAUAUAGGCUGUUAAGGAACCCUAUGAAAAUGGUUAGCAUGAAAUUUUAUUAAUUGUAAGUUUCGUGUUUAGGGAUUAAAUUGCAUAAAAGUUAAAUUAUUAGAGGUAAUUUCGUAAUUUUACAUUAAAGUGGGUUAUUAAACUAUUUGAAUGAUUUAAUUGAAUGAAAAUAUUAUUUAGACCAAGAAAAGAACCAACUGGACAUGAACUGAUGAAAAGCGAAAGUCUCGUAUGAGUUAUAAACUUAUUAAUUUGUUUUUGAAUUGUAUGUUAUUCAAUGUUAUGUUAGAUAUGAUUUAAGUUGGUAAUAUAACGAUGUUUUGGAUAUUUGAUGGUUUAACAGUUUCGGUUUCGGAUACCGGUCUUGGAUGUCCUAUUAAUUGUUGAAGUCUUGCAUUUGAUGCGAAUUCUCCACAACUAGUGUGAGCAUUAUUGAAAAGGUUACAAUUACAUGAAAAGACACUUUGUGUAAGUGUUUCCUGAGUAUUCAAUGUUGUUUAAUAUGGUUCAAUGGGCACUUUAAGUUAAAUGAAAAAGUAUGUAUAUGAAAUGAGCCAUGAUGUUAAGCAUGGGAAAUGAGCUAUGAUGCUGAGUAUAUAAAUUUGAUAGUAUGAUAUGUGAAAUUAUGUUGAAAAGAGAAUCUAAUGAUAUAUGAUAGAUGGUUUGUAUAUUGAAAUUUAUUUAAUGAAAUAUUACAUGAAUUAGGUGAAGUUAUAUGCUUAAUAUUCACCUACCAACUUUGUGGAGUUUUUGUGUAUAAGAUUGAAAUGUAUGCAUUUAUUUUAAUAAUUGAAUUCAUACUUGAAUGGCUACAAAUAAUAUAUGCGGUAAGUUUAAAUUUACAUAUACGAGUUUAUUAAGCACUAGUUUACAUAGUUGUUUUCUUUGUCUUGUAAAUCAUCGGGAAGUUUAAUGGGUUGAAACUUUGUCAGAGGUCUAUCACACUAUUAGUCGACCAUUUUAAUAGUUAUAAUUAUUUUGGCUAUAGUUAUAAAUGACAUGUAUAGGGCUUAUAUGUAAUAGGAGUUUUUGAUUAUACUAUUUGGCUAAUGUGAUGUGGUUAUGUCUCUUGCAUAUAGGUUUUGUUUUGACUUGUAAUUGCAUAAGUAUGUUUGUCUUUUUUGUCACUUUAAAAGGCAUUGUAAAUAUAUGGCUUAUGACUUAUUCAUAUGAGAUUGAAGUGGUUUAAUGAUGUGUGAAUAUGGUGAUGUAUGUUUAGGUUAUAAUGUAACUUCAAAUGGAUUGAUGUGUUAUUUGAGGUGCCUUUUGAUGGCAUAUUGGUUUAGUGUAGGAUGAGUGAAUAUUUAGCAUGUUUUUGAUGUUUUGAAGUAUGUUUUAAACAUGUGAAUGUUGGUAGAAUUAGUGUGUAUUAAUGUGUCUUGGUGUGCAAGAAUUAGUUUUGGAAUGGCUUGUUUUAGGGGUAACUUGUGUUGCAUACGGCCUGACACACAGUCUGUUACACUGCCACCCCAUACAGUUGUGUUAUUAUUGUUCUUAGGUGCAGGUUUCACAUGGUCUAAGACACAACCUGCGACAUGGUCAUGUGUUUCAAGUCAAAAUGUAACACGGUCUGGCAAACAGCUUACGACAAGGUCGUUUGACCCAACAUCGAAUGCGCAUACGGCUUGCGACACAAUUGUGUGGCCCUAUUUUGAAUAUAUACGGGCUAGGACACGGUCGUGUGUCCAGAGUUCGAAUGUCUAGAAGGUCUAGGCUAUGCCACACGGCUGUGUGACCUGUAUUUUUCAAAAUUUCAUGUUUUCCCAAAUUUUUCUGUUUUGCUUCAAAUUGACCCCUAAUUGUUUCCAAGUUAAUUUUUAAGGCUCAAACGUGUUUGUUUACUAUGAUUAUAUUAAGUUGUUAAUUAUUGAUAUUAAGAUAUAUAAUUGUUUCUAUUUUGAUGUUAAA
rnacentral:lncRNA from 1 species